ensembl:miRNA mir203b microRNA 203b
AGUGGUUCUUGACAGUUCAACAGUCUUUACCAAAAUUGUGAAAUGUUUAGGACCACUCG